AUGACGGUUGUCAACCGGCUAGGUUCCGGAAGGUUCCGACAAUUUCUGAUGGUGCUUUGUAUUGGUUUUUGGUUGAAGAAGAUGUUGAAUGAUUGUUUUGAAUUAAGUUUAUAAAUAGUAUAUUAAACUCGUGUAUGUUUCAAUUGCACAUGAAUUGAGCUCGUGUAUGUUUCAAUUGCACAUGAAUUAAGCUUGGUUUAAGCAUAUUAAUUCUGAUGUUCAAGUAAGAGAUCUUGAAUUGAGCUCCAAUUUAUUUCAACUUGUGUUUUAGUUACAUGUAGAUAGCAAGAUAAGCUAAAAAAUAUCAUGUAGAUGUCUGAGACUGUGAAGUAGGACUAGAGGCCCCUCAGUACAAGGCGAAGCACACAUCGGCUUAGGUGAGGUUGAGGAUAGGUGCAGGAGAAAAGGGCUAACCGGUUGUUCUGGCAGUUCCAUAUUUGUUCAGUUUGUAUACUGCGUGCUUUGGAUGCAUUAAGAUACCUCGACUUAACUGCUGCAAGUAAAAGGUGAGAG
rnacentral:lncRNA from 1 species